AGCAGAGGUCAACUGCAGAAUAAGAACAAAAAGUUACAGCAAGACAAGUGCAGUUCAGGUACCUGUUUUGUAAAGUUUCAGUAUAUAGAGCUAAAAAAGUAAAGUGCAGCAGGGAUCCAUUAGUUUUCUCUCUUUUAAACCUGACUUUUAGAAUGGAGGAUCAUAUAAAGCUUAAAGUAUUUUCUAAACUGGACUUGGAAGCAGCAGCUCAACUCAGAUGGGAUAUUUUCAUUGGUGCAUGGACUUAAGUUAUAAGUAAAGGUUCAGAUCGCUGCUGUGCCAUUUUUAGCAGCCGGACUCCGCUUGGAACGCGUGCAGGACGUAGUUCGGCGGGACCUUCUCUGAAAAACGAUGACAUCUGGAUGGCAAAAUUAGCAAGCGUGGCAUGUGCACUGGAACGGCACCCCUGCCCCCCCUCCCUUUACCCCAUGCCAAUCAGCAUUGUGGUUUUUGAAUGAUACAGACAAGCUCAGUGAUCCAUUCCUCUUCACCCCAGACAAUAGAGUAUACAUGAUUUGCAAAAAAACGAACACAAAUAAAUAGA